GAUGAACGCUGGCGGCGUGCCUAAUACAUGCAAGUCGAGCGAACAGACGAGGAGCUUGCUCCUCUGACGUUAGCGGCGGACGGGUGAGUAACACGUGGAUAACCUACCUAUAAGACUGGGAUAACUUCGGGAAACCGAAGCUAAUACCGGAUAAUAUAUUGAACCGCAUGGUUCAAUAGUGAAAGACGGUUUUGCUGUCACUCAUAGAUGGAUCCGCGCCGCAUUAGCUAGUUGGUAAGGUAACGGCUUACCAAGGCAACGAUGCGUAGCCGACCUGAGAGGGUGAUCGGCCACACUGGAACUGAGACACGGUCCAGACUCCUACGGGAGGCAGCAGUAGGGAAUCUUCCGCAAUGGGCGAAAGCCUGACGGAGCAACGCCGCGUGAGUGAUGAAGGUCUUCGGAUCGUAAAACUCUGUUAUUAGGGAAGAACAAAUGUGUAAGUAACUAUGCACGUCUUGACGGUACCUAAUCAGAAAGCCACGGCUAACUACGUG
rnacentral:rRNA from 1 species